GGCGAACCUCAUUCCCAAGGAGCACACACGUGUGAGGCCGGCCAAGCACCCAACACCCAGCCGCCGCCGGCCAGACCUGGCUGGGGGCGCUGCACGCCACUGCUGGCCGCCUAGUCCGGCCUUUAGGCGCAGCUGCUGUAGACAAAGCUUCAAACUACCUAAGGACCAGAAAGCCCGGCCCGGUUGUCGAGGAUGCGUUAGUAUGAGUUGCCAGGCCUCUGGUCCACCACACUGUGUCUCCCUCAGCUGCAGGUCGAAGAGCAUGUGUUAAUUCAAAUCCCGGACCCUUCUACUUUUUUGUCAAGUCUCUGCAUUCUGUUGGUAGUUAGGUUUUAGUUCUGGGAUUUUAUUUUUUUUUCCCCCACACUGAGUUCAUGUUUUACAACUGUUGGGAGUUUUUUGUUUGUUUCGAUUUUUUUUCUUUGCAGUUAAUUGCUAUGGUUCGAACCUGAGUUAACCCAAAUAUUUCUGCCGACUUUAUAACUGUACAGUUUUGUAUAUUAAACGUUUUUGAAGUUAUUAAUUUAAAGAAAGAUCAUUUAGUUUAUUCAUUUAGUAACUGAUGUAUAAUAAACGCUAUUUUCAUUAAGAGUUGCUUUUUCAACUAUUUUAUUCAAAUUGCCUAUUGCAGUUGCCAACAAUUAUUUAUUUUCAAUAAAUUCUGCAUUGUGUUUAAAAGGAAAUUCUUUCACAGAUAAGUUGGAUGUCAAAAAGAAAACAAUUCGCUGUAAUGUUUGAUGUGAAGUUUUAGUCAAGGGGUUUAUAUUGACGCAAUAUUUUAUUGUUGUAAAAGAUUAAAAAGGUUUAAAUAAAACAUUUUUCCAAAAAAAAA
rnacentral:lncRNA from 1 species